rnacentral:tRNA from 1 species
AGCCCUGUGGUGUAAUUGGCAACACGCCUGAUUCUGGUUCAGGAGAGUCUAGGUUCGAUCCCUAGCAGGGCUA